rnacentral:rRNA from 1 species
GAGUUUGAUCGUGGCUCAGGAUGAACGCUGGCGGCGUGCCUAAUACAUGCAAGUCGAGCGAACAGACGAGGAGCUUGCUCCUCUGACGUUAGCGGCGGACGGGUGAGUAACACGUGGAUAACCUACCUAUAAGACUGGGAUAACUUCGGGAAACCGGAGCUAAUACCGAAUAAUAUAUUGAACCGCAUGGUUCAAUAGUGAAAAACGGUUUUGCUGUCACUUAUAGAUGGAUCCGCGCCGCAUUAGCUAGUUGGUAGGGUAACGGCUUACCAAGGCGACGAUGCGUAGCCGACCUGAGAGGGUGAUCGGCCACACUGGAACUGAGACACGGUCCAGACUCCUACGGGAGGCAGCAGUAGGGAAUCUUCCGCAAUGGGCGAAAGCCUGACGGAGCAACGCCGCGUGAGUGAUGAAGGUCUUCGGAUCGUAAAACUCUGUUAUUAGGGAAGACAAAUGUGUAAGUAACUAUGCACGUCUUGACGGUACCUAAUCAGAAAGCCACGGCUAACUACGUGCCAGCAC